UUUUUUUUUGUACUAAGUUUUUGAAAUCUGGUGUGGAUUUACACACGUCUUACAGUGCAUCCAAAUUCAGACUGGCCACAUUUCAAGCGCCUAAUAGCCACAUGUGUCUAGAAAAUUCUGUAUUGGCUAGUGUGGACUUAGUCAAUCUGGUGGCUUUCUUUGGCACCUGGAUUUUAAUCUAAUCUUUUACUAAAGCAUUUUAUGAAAGAACUUAAUGAAUAUGACUAUUUUCCUUUCUCUUUUGUUUGUUUGUUUCCUUGGCAGCCAUCAGGCCAAACUUGGUGAGACUUGCCCUCUACCUUAAAUAUAUGCUUAUGCGGGUGAGUGAAAUUAGCAUGGUGAUUAUAUACUAAUAAACUGAUACUACUCAGAAGAAUGAUUUGUUACACAGAAUGGAAGACGUUUCAUUCACAGGACUACUAUGUAGUAAAAGGAAGUCCUAUAAUGGAUCAUUCAAAUGAGGACAAUCCGGAGUGUGAAAGGGGAGCUAUUAAUUACGCCAGGACAAUGCAGAGCAGGACUGUCUCAGGCAAACUGGCAAUAUGUAGCCUUGCGGUUUCACUGUAAGCGUCAUGUGAGCAGAGAUUAUGUCUCAUGACUCUUCUCUUGUGGAGCGUGCAGCAGAGUCUAGACACAUACUGUGUUUCAUACAUUCUUGUUGAUUGAUGUGGAGCCUGAAGAUGCCACCCCUGGGCGCUCUGCCUGAUGCUCUGAAGUCAGAGGCAUUGCCUUGCCUGCUGGGUGGAAGAAUCUUCUUCCUCUCAAGUCCCAUGUCAACAUAAGAAGAUCUCAUGAAGACAGGAGGUGUUUCUAGCCUUCCCCUCGUAAGCUUGUACUUGCCAUGUUCUGUUUCCUGAGGCUCUGGUAUCCUACGGUUGUCUUUGUUUGUUUAAAAUCACAGCAUUUUUUUUUUUUCCAGGAAUACAUCUCUAUUAAGAUGUCCUGUACAUGCACAUUAAAAUGUCAGCAUAAUCUAAUUACGAGCCAAAUGAGGCACAGCAUCAUUUACAUCAUUUGAUAAAUUUCCAUCAUUUGCAGUGGACUAGUGAUUUGAAUCCAAAUACUUCUUGACAGCCUGGAUAUAACAAACAUUCUGUAGCUCUGUAUAGCAGAAGCUUGUGGGUGGAGGUACAUUCUUUUAUUUGGUUACUGCAACCCAGAUUUGAACGUGAAUGCAAAAAAUCUGUUCAGCAUUAGACCUAGUUGUAAAGGAGGAUACCAUGAGAUCAUUACAGGUCAGGGAAAAUGUCAAAGGACUUGGUUCAGACAGCUUUGGUUAGGAUAACCUUCCGUACUUUCUGUGGUCCCGCUAUUUUUUCUCCAAGGAGAAAGUUUGGGGACACAGAAUAAAUAGAGCCAAAGCUAAAUGUUAUGCAUGUAAUUCAAAAGAAUAAGAAUAGAGUGGUUCACAAAAUUUCAAAUAUGGGUCUUUUGUUUAGAUGCAUGCAUUUCACGGUCAUUAAAAGAAAACCCUACCUGAAGAUGAUGAGAAAUAGACUGAGCUUUCCCUCCAUUCAUUACAAAACAUUUUUUUUCUAGCACUGUUCUAAAACUUUGAGAGAAUGAGACUUUUUCCACACUUGGAAACAGGAUGUAUAUAGAGGGCAAAGGUCUGCUCUGUUCUAUCAAGACCCUGGCAUGUGAGACUGAGAAAAACUGACUG